GACGAACGCUGGCGGCGUGCCUAAUACAUGCAAGUUGAGCGCUGAAGGUUGGUACUUGUACCGACUGGAUGAGCAGCGAACGGGUGAGUAACGCGUGGGGAAUCUGCCUUUGAGCGGGGGACAACAUUUGGAAACGAAUGCUAAUACCGCAUAAAAACUUUAAACACAAGUUUAAGUUUGAAAGAUGCAAUUGCAUCACUCAAAGAUGAUCCCGCGUUGUAUUAGCUAGUUGGUGAGGUAAAGGCUCACCAAGGCGAUGAUACAUAGCCGACCUGAGAGGGUGAUCGGCCACAUUGGGGACUGAGACACGGCCCAAACUCCUACGGGAGGCAGCAGUAGGGAAUCUUCGGCAAUGGACGAAAGUCUGACCGAGCAACGCCGCGUGAGUGAAGAAGGUUUUCGGAUCGUAAAACUCUGUUUGGUAGAGAAGAACGUUGGUGAGAGUGGAAAGCUCAUCAAGUGACGGUAACUACCCAGAAA
rnacentral:rRNA from 1 species